UCAAGUGGUUUUCUUUUUAUACGCUUUUUUGCUUUUCCUGUAAACCUACGAAAAGUGAUGUUAGGUUAUUUUGCAUUUCAGGUGACGAAAUACACGAAACAGCCAAACUUAAUAUUAAUUUUAUAAACUCAAAGUUUACCAGAACUCUCUCUUCGUCAUUUUGAACGAUUUGGUUGAAAAAAUCGUUAUCCAGGAGAGCUGGAAGACUUGCCGAGGAAUUCAAUUCUGGCUUUCAAUAGUUUCAUCGGCACAGAAGCGUGUGCGGUUUUAAUGGGUACGCUAGGUUUUAUUGUAAAGCUUCACUCAAUGAACUCGGUUAUCGAAAUAGGGUUUCUCUCUUACAGUCUUAUGCCUUAUAUCACUACAUCGAUCACAUGCAUUAAUUUGGGAAUGCUAUUACAUGUACUUAUUAAUGUUAAAUUUGUUUGUUUGUUUUUUCCAUUGAGAUUCAAGGGAUUGUGACGCGCAAUACAUAGCCUAUCCAAUCCAAAUGUCAACCUCACCUACGCGCGGUGAAUCUUGUUAUUGUAUAUAGCAGGCGAGGCUCUGGCGAUUUUUAAAGGACUACUCAAUCACAAAGAAAAAAUUAGAAACUCAAAAAGCAUCCAAAAAUGUUUGAAGAUUUUGGCCCUGCAGCUAAGUUAAACUGUCAUAUAGACCAUAACAAAAUAUCAAGAUAUUUAAAAGAAAGAUAACAGUAAUAUUAGUUUGACUACUGCCGAUCUCUGCCGUGAGAACUCUUAAGAAAUGGACACUAACUAGAUGACGAGAGAAAGAAACACAAACGUAAUGGAUACCAGUAAAGAGAUGUGUUUUCUCUUAAAGCCUAUAUUUCACAAAUAGUUUCUAGCGAAUGUUGCUAUAUUUGCGGCUCUUAACAGCAUGCGGAUUCACAGCAAACUGCAACCUGCUUGACACGGAUCGAGUUAAUCAAGCGAACAUAAAAAAUACACAGCUCUAAUGGAGAGCAGUAAAAAUAUUGCUAUAUUUUGUUUCUUGAAAAUCGACUUAACAUCGUUAGAAAAAAUCCACAAAAAAUUGUAAUUAGUUGCAAGGCGCUAAACUUGUGAAAUACUCAUGGCGUAAUUCCUUCGGUCAUAAGCACAGAUUAUCCGGAAACGUAUACCGAAUUGCCGACUGCAGUGGCCAAGGGGCGACACCACAAAAGCUAUGUUAAAGAUCAUUAAUGUUAUUAGUGUUGUUGUGGGCCACUUAAUAUACUUCGUUGCACACUAUUGGAGAGAUAAUGCCAUCGGAUGAAUAAAAUGGGAACUAUGUUAUACACCUUUAUAUAUGAUGCCUCCAUUGAGACAAUCGACGCAAAAGAAGGCAAAAAAUUAUAUAUUUAUGUUAUGAUCUAAUAAUCAUUGCAGUGUGGCAGUUUUUUAUUUGGCUAAGAUUACAGUUCACUCGCAUCACUUAUAUUCUAAUGAAACAUUUGCGGAAUCCUGCUAUGAUAUAUAAUCCAUACAUAACAGCGAUCACUUUGGUCACGUUAAUCCAAAAAUGCAGUUAUGUGAGCGAUACUGCUAAAGUACGAGUGCCUUUGGAUUUGGAAAUGGAAGUCGUUUUCCUUUUAAAGAGCCGGCUUUCUUGCAACAAACUUGAGAUCAAGGCAAGCCCUUCUUGCCUUCCCGUAAACGAGCUCAAUAAUCGUCGGUCUGUUAUUUUUCUAAUUCGUUCCGGUUACCUAUACCUGGUAACCGGGGAUCUUUCACAUCAUCCACAAAGAAAAACAUGAAGAUGUGCCCCGCGCAACGUAAUGCUUUAUAAAGUUUACCGACAUCGUCCGCUGCUUUUACUGUUUCGUGCUGUAAAUCAUAAAACUAUAAAAAAAUUUCAAAAGCUGAAUCUAGAAGACACUACUAAACUGAAAUUUUAUAAGGAUUAACUUAAUAAUGGACUGCAGAACACCGUUAUAACGAUCAUAGACAUGAAUUCUUCACGAACUCCAUCACAAAUAUAAACAGCGCUUAAGAACUAUCGAAAAUGAUUUACUGAGUGUACAAGUGUGAGAGAUAAAUUCACCAUAACCUACAAUGCUGGAAAUUUCAAUAAAUAACAUGUGUUAAUGAAUAUCAGCUAUAUCACAUACAUACAUCUACAAAUAAAAUCAACAAGCAUAAGGUAACGAUAGAUAUAGGUAUUUAGAAAGUGACGGAAGGAAACAAUAUUAAAAAAUAUUAUUUAAAAUUAAAAAAAUUAAAAAAAAAAAAAACAUAAUUUAAGUACAAAAAUUGAGGCUUGAGUUUUGUAAAACGUUAUGUACUUAUACAUAUAACGGUUAAAAAAAUAUUUCUUAAGUAUAUUUUUAAAAUCUUUCGAAACUAACUAACGUUAAAGUCUUUACAUUAUUUUUUCAAGUGUUGUAUAGAGUAAAAAAGUGAGUCCGCACUUUAAAAAACUUUUAUGGAAUGAGCUAAAUUCUUACAAGUACAAAAAUAUAUAUAUACAAUAAGUAUCAGAUUAUUUGAAAAAUUAUGUUUAGAUAUCGAUAAAAUUUUAAUAUAAAAAAUUGUCAAAAAAAAUUGUUUUCAAACCAUAAGUUGUCAAGAGUCAAUGCGAAAACUAAACUGAAGAAUACUCACUUUUUAGUCAAUGAGUUUCAGUGAGAAUGACAUUUACUAAAUUUAUUCCCUUGUACCACUAACUUCUAUAUUUCUAAUUUAAUAUUUAUAUGUAAAUUUACUGCCUUAUUUAUUUUCCAAUUGAAAUUUUUAACAAUUAACUAAUAAGUAAUUGCCAUAAUGUGACUUCCGAAAUUGUACGAUAUGCCGAUUACGGCUUCAAAUUUGAUUUAUAUACUUAAUUUAUUUGUUUGUAUUAUUAUUAACAUUUUUCACGUCAUUGAAGUAAUUUACGAUAGUUUUUUCCCUCUUCACCUUUUUCGAUUGCGCCAUUAAGAUGAGAGGUGUUGAUCUUACACGGUGCUGCCAGGCGUGUAAAAAUAGUAAAAUUAUUUCUAAUCGGCUCUGACGCUCCUUGUCGAUGGACAUUUUUGACAGUAAUGUCAACUAAUGCAUAAAAAGAGCAAAAAGCAAGGAUGAACAGCAUUGUUAGUUAUGCGUAAGCAAUACAGAGUAAGCCCCCAGGAUGUUUGGUAUCUGAAAUUUCUUUUAUUCCCUGUUUAAUGCUCGUAGAAAAGUAAUACAAAGUUUUAAAAUUGUUUUUAAUUAUUGUUAAUACGUUCAUCUCUUUUCUGCGUUAUACUUUUUUAAAUUUAUAACUCGCAUCAGCUGAUAAAAUUCAAUGUCGUAUUAUAUUACAUGUGUGUUCUAUUAGUCGUAAUAUUAAACGUAAUGUUUUGUGGUUAUCAGAUGGCACACGAUCGAGAGCAAUUUUGACGAAUUGAACUAAUGCGUUAUACUGAUGGAAAAAUCUUUAUAGUUCACGAUUAAUUUCUCGUCUUGUAUUCAAAACAAUUACACAACGUUGAUCCAAUUCACAAUUGUCAUCACCAAUAAAAUAAAUUUGUAAAAAUUUACUAUCAGCGUCGAGGUAUGUCAAUAACCAACCAGCUUAAUGAUAAAUCGCUCUGAAACUGUAAAAUUUUUUUUAAUUAUUUUAAUUUUUAAAACCACAAUCCUGUUGAAGUA